GACGCUCGCUUUGAGUGAUGGAAUAACUCCUGUUGUUUAGUGUGUGUGUGUGUGUGUGUGUGUGUGUGUGUGUGUGUGUGUGUGUGUGAGAGAGAGAAAUCCAUACAGCGGAUUAGAGUAUGAUCCCAGCACUGAAGGUGGCGUCUAACUGGAUUACAAACAAUUGUGAAAGUAUGAGUUGUUACCGAAUGUGUGUUCAUCCAUCAUUGUGUGUGCUGUUUUUAUUUUUGGAAGGGGUGUGUGUGUGUGUGUGUGUGUGUGUGUGUGUGUGUGUGUGUGUGUGUGUGUGUGUGUAUAUAUGUAUGUAUGCUGACAUCAGCACAAGUCCGACCCUCUACAAAGCUUUUCCUCUUUUUCCUUUCCAUAAAAUGUAUCGCAACCAGAUUUCUUUCUUUUAGUGUGUGUUAGCGGCGACUAACGAUGAUUUUCAUAAUCGAUUAUUUGUCCGAUUAUUUUUUCGAUGAAUCGGAUGGGGGCGGGGCAAACGUUCAGUACCCUUUUUAUUGUUUAUUUAAAAUAAAAUCCACAAACCGAGUGUUACAGAUAUAAACCUCAGACUAACCCCCCCCCCCCCCCCCCCCCCCCCACACACACACCAGAAUAUAUAAAACUCAUCUAGGACUGUACUUUAAUUCGGUGCCUUUGUGCAUCCAUAAAAAUAAUGCAUAAAUUUUAUAUAUAUAUAUAAAAUUAUAAAAUAAUUUUAUUGUAUUCAUGCAUUAUUUUUAUGGAUGCAGAAAAAACGCUGAAUUAAACUACAGUCCUAGAUGAGUGAUAAAAUCUCACGGUCACUGGUUUCUGUUCCUCGCGGUCUCUAGACAUUCUUUUCCUUGUUUACUUUUGAUCAUAAUGUUUUAAUUAGACAUUACGGAUCUUACUCGCGCUCCUAUUGCACGUCUACACCGCGCCGGAUCUGCGACGCGGCCUCGUCACUAACGCAUCACUUCCGUUAUAAGAACCGACAGAAGUUCCACUGCAAGCGCGCAGAUGCAGCAUAUAAUCACGAUAAACUUAAACUAAACCUUUUAAGCAGCUCGCACCAGUUUCCCCGCCCCUUCCACACGGUGGAGCAUUCCGGAUAUGAACACGUUUGUGCUCGUGCAGCACUGUUUGAUCUCCGCGGUGUCUAAUAUAAAAUGCUCCCUCGCUUUAGAGGACUUUCUUCCUCGGUCACGUGACGAUUUCUCCUCCGUCCGACGGAGACUGAGGUCGUGUUGUGAAUAAAAGGUAACGCGGAUAGAAAGUAAACGGAAGAGAGUCAUUAUCGGUGACUCGGGUGUUCGCUCAUGCUAGCGUGCGUAUGACGUCACGCGCCGUCGUGGCUUAUACUUCCGGUUAGUAAAAACCCGCGAGCGUUCUAUUUGAGACGAUAUCACCUUUCUAAAAUCCCCACACUAGACGAUGGAGUACGCAGUGCAUAGUGUAAGUGCACAGUACUUCAUUUGGGACACAACUUUUAUAUAUAUUUACAUUUAAUGGAAAAGAAUAUAAAAUAAAUAAAGAUAGAAUUUUGAAAGGUAGAUGACAGGUUUAUUUGAUGCCUACAGAGCGUCGCAGUGUAAAUUCGGGGGAGGGGAAAAUAAAAGGUGUAAAAGUUCGAAAGAGUCCGAUCAGCUGCUUCCACGCAGUCCUUCCAGGGUUUCGCCGUUUCGCGAUCGCAGAAACGAACGCCAAAUCAAGCGAGCUCCGUGAUAUACCCGGAGGACCGUGCCGCCGUUCGUUCGCGUGCGCCGACCACGAGGACUAAAGGCUAAUAGACCUCGUUUCCCAACAAACAUCGCUGCGGAAAAUCUCGUGCCGUUGCGAUUUCGCGAAUCCGAGUAGUUUCCUGCACAACAGCCCAAAACCGGUCGCGUCACACAUUUUGAAAAAAGCCGCCGCAAAAACUCGGAAUUAUUAGUUCGUAAUUAUUACAGAAAAAAAAUCCAUGAAAAAAUAGAUCGCCCGAUACCAACGAUAUCUCAAACAGGAUUCAUCACGAUAUCGGUGUUGUACGGUCGGAUCGCCCGGCACCCGUGUGUCUGUUCCACUGGAGCUGAUUAUAUUUAAAUAAAAAUACGUAGCUGAAUAAUUGUAAUUUAAUUGACAAAAUCUGACCGCAAAUUGGUUGUGUGUGUGUGUGUGUGUGUGUGUGUGUGUGUGUGUGUGUGUGUGUGUGGAGACGAAACACGGCCGUUCCCUUUCGGUAUAGUUUUAGGCUCGGCCUCAGGGUCGGAUUUAAGCGAAGCUGAUAAGUCUCUCUCUCUCUCACACACACACACACACACACACAAUAGACAUGAGGUCAUCGCUCUGAGCCCUGGUGAAGUCCAGCGAGCACAGGAACGAUCCGCACGUCGCACUGAGUCAGUGUAAAUACUGACUAAGACAAACAGGUUAGUAAUUGUUUGCAUAGACAACACACACACACACACACACACACACACGCGCACACGAGUUUCAUUCAUCUAAUCACAGUGCAAGUUGUAACUAGUCUGUUUUUGCUCUGUAACCUCACACCUGAUCGCCGUCUCUUGGAGGAAAACAAGUUUAGUAAUCGGGGACGCGUUUCUCAGCGCUCCCGCUCCCGGUCCCGGUCCGUCUCCGAGCGAGAGAAAAACGCCUGUUUGUUCAGGGUUUUACGGUGAACACGCCAGGGGGCAGGUACGCCAGCUGCCACUCAUCUGUUUUAGUUCAAAUGUAGGCACUUGGUUUACACUGAGACGUUCUUUCUGAUUGCUGUGCUCAGAUCGAAAGAGAGACCGUGUGUGUGUGUGUGAGAGAGAGAGCGCAGUUCUAGUGAUUGACGGUGAUUGUGUCAUUUCCUCACCUCAGGAUGGUGAUUGGGGUUGGUGUGGUGGCUCUACACCUCGUGUGUGUGGUUGAGUCUUUUUCCUGCAUGUUUCUCAGAAACGGAGCAUGGCUGCUUGAUUUUCUUGGUUUGAUACCGUGGCUACCGUGAGUCACAAACCACCCCCCCACCUCCGUUAUUAUUAUUAUUAUUAUUAUUAUUAUUAUUAUUAUUAUUAUUAGCAGCUCAUACUUUGAGGAACGUCGGCCUUUUCCGCGUCUCUCCUCAGCACAGGUGAUGUGCAGGUAAUGUGUCGUAGGAGUCGGACGAGUGACCUGGCGUGGGUUUAUAUCCGGUGCUGCGAGUGGUUUAUUAAAUCCGUUAUUAAAGAGAUGACCGCCGUGGGAUUCCUCGUUACUGUAGUUGGAACACAGGAAAGAUUCUGCGCCCGCUGUGAUGAUCGGACUCGACUUUUCUCGGUUCGCUUUAAAUAGUGAGCCAUCGAUGAUUCGUUCAUGGAAGGAGUCUCCAGUGUCGGGACGGGGUGGAUAGAUGGGUGGAUAGCUAGCUAAGCGUAGAGGCUAGUUUCUCCGUGUUAAUGGUCAUGGAAGUCCAGCAGUUUGAUGAGUGAGUUUUAACACGAUAUGACGGAUGAUGCGCUCCGAUCGACAGCCGAGGAAAAUCCCCGGAAGGGGGACAUAAACAGUCAGGAGGAGAAAGGAAGUGGAUUCCGGCCACGGACAGGAGGAAGGAUGUGUGUAGCAGGGUCGCUGUCUGACUGUUCUGGAACCGUAAAUCGUUUUCGUAAAUGUCCGAGUACUAAAAUGUUCUGCCGGGUUAGGAAAGUUUAAGAAGGGCUGGUUUUCUUCGCACUCAGGUGUGUACGUUGCUCAGCGUUCCCGUCACAGCGUAUCCGCUUUUAGCCACGCCCACAAAACUCCAUAAAAGGAGAGCCGAGAGUACGAAAGACCGGUCGAGGGUAAAUGCUGGAAGAUGGGAGUGGAAGAUAUUUUGACUCGCUUCUAUGCCGGUAAAAAUAUCGAAUCAUAUACGGCGUUAACGAUAGGCGGGCGCCGCGGCAGUUCGACCUCCGCAGUGUAGGACAGGUAUAGAAGUGCAGUAAUCCGCAGGUUUUAUGAUGUGAAGUCGAUCGAGUCACGGUCUGCGGCGGUUCGUCUUCUUAUGCGUAAGUUUACACGCCUUCAGGAGCACGUGUAGGAUUGGAAUGUUUCCCCCCACCCCCCACCCCCCGAGCUUAAAGUAUUUUCCUGAAUGUAAAAAUAUUUUUGUGUAAACGCUCCUAUGCAGCUGUGAUUCUUCCUUGUCCCCGUGGUCGAGUGCCGUCGGUUUAGGAAGGUUCUUUAAUCGUCGGGGUUUUGUACAGAAGUCUGUAGUCAAGCGACGCUUCGACCCUUGCUGUAGACUCGGGCCGCGUGAGGAUCAGAACGAGCUCGGCACGGGGUGUUCCGUUCAGACCCGGCCUCUGUGUGUUGGGGAAGCGGCGAAGAGGAAAGCUGCACAUCUGGCAGGAGCGUUUGAGGCUCGUCUCCUGCACUCUGGCCUCGGAUUAAUCGCCUAAAGACCCGGCUUUUCUCACGCCCGUUAAACAUCCACCUGUCUAGCUGGCUUUAAUGGCUGAAAGUUUCUCUCUCUCUCUCACUCACACAUACACACACACACACACACACAAGCACACUUUAAAAUGUUUAAAAACUGGGUUUUAUUCUUUGUUUUGUUGUUUUUACUCAAAAAUUUUUUUUGGCCUACAUGUUGCGUGUUUGUAUAGUUGCUUAUAGAUGUUGAUCGAUUUUCU
ensembl:lncRNA